rnacentral:rRNA from 1 species
GACGAACGCUGGCGGCGUGGAUUAGGCAUGCAAGUCGAACGGUAUCAUCCUUUCGGGGGUGAGAGAGUGGCGAACUGGUGAGUAACACGUAGGUUAUCUACCCUCAAGACGGGGACAACCCAGGGAAACUUGGGCUAAUACCGGAUGUGAGCAACUUUUAGUUGUUUGAAAGGUGGCGUAAGCUGUCGCUUGGGGAUGAGCCUGCGUCCUAUUAGUUAGUUGGUGAGGUAACGGCUCACCUAGGCAAUGAUAGGUAGGCGGCCUUAACGGGUGGUCGCCCACACUGGGAUUGAGAUACGGCCCAGACUCCUACGGGAGGCAGCAGUCGAGAAUAGUCUACAAUGGUCGGAAGACUGAUAGUGCGACGCCGCGUGAACGAUGAAUCCCUUCGGGGUGUAAAGUUCUUUUAUAUGUGAGCAGUGCUUCUUAUAUUAACAGUAUGGGGAAGAGAUAUUAGCAUAUGAAUAAGCAACGGCUAAACUCCGUGCCAGCAGCCGCGGUAAUA